GGGGGAUAUUGCACAAUGGAGGAAACUCUGAUGCAGCAACGCCGCGUGAGGGAAGAAGGUCUUCGGAUUGUAAACCUUUGUCCUUGGUGAAGAAAAGAAUGACGGUAGCCAAGGAGGAAGCUCCGGCUAACUACGUGCCAGCAGCCGCGGUAAUACGUAGGGAGCAAGCGUUGUCCGGAUUUACUGGGUGUAAAGGGUGCGUAGGCGGCUCUGCAAGUCAGGCGUGAAAACCAUGGGCUUAACCCAUUGGAUUGCGUUUGAAACUGUGGAGCUUGAGUGAAGUAGAGGUAGGCGGAAUUCCCGGUGUAGCGGUGAAAUGCGUAGAGAUCGGGAGGAACACCAGUGGCGAAGGCGGCUUACUGGGCUUUAACUGACGCUGAGGCACGAAAGCAUGGGUAGCAAAC
rnacentral:rRNA from 1 species